rnacentral:rRNA from 1 species
UACGUAGGGUGCAAGCGUUGUCCGGAAUUAUUGGGCGUAAAGAGCUCGUAGGCGGUCUGUUGCGUCGGCUGUGAAAACCCGGGGCUCAACUCCGGGCCUGCAGCCGAUACGGGCAGACUAGAGUUCGGCAGGGGAGACUGUAAUUCCUGGUGUAGCGGUGAAAUGCGCAGAUAUCAGGAGGAACACCGGUGGCGAAGGCGGGUCUCUGGGCCGAUACUGACGCUGAGGAGCGAAAGCGUGGGGAGCGAACAGG